rnacentral:sRNA from 1 species
AUUCUGCCCAUGCGGGGAAGGAUGAGAAGCUUCGACCAAGGUUCGACUCGAGCGCCAGCGAGAGAGCGUUGCCGCAGGCAACGACCCGAAGGGCGAAGCGCGCAGCGCUGAGUAAUCCUUCCCCCACCGCCA